rnacentral:rRNA from 1 species
GCGCAGCAGGCGCGAAUCUUCCGCAAUGGGCGAAAGCCUGACGGAGCGACGCCGCGUGGAGGACGAAGGCCUUCGGGUUGUAAACUCCUGUCACGAGUUAAGAAGGAUUCAACACUAACAGUGUUGGAUUUUGACGUAAGCUCGAGAGGAAGCACUGGCUAACUCUGUGCCAGCAGCCGCGGUAAUACAGAGAGUGCAAACGUUGUUCGGAAUUACUGGGCUUAAAGCGCACGUAGGCUGCAUCGUAAGUGUCAGGUGAAAUCCCACGGCUUACCCGUGGAACUGCUUGGCAGACUGCGAAGCUAGAGUGUGGUAGGGGAGAGCGGAACUCCUGGUGGAGCGGUGAAAUGCGUAGAUAUCAGGAGGAACACCGGUGGCGAAGGCGGCUCUCUGGUCCACAACUGACGCUGAGGUGCGAAAGCUAGGGAAGCAAACGGGAUUAGAUACCCCCGUAGUCC